UAACACAUGCAAGUCGAACGGAAAGGCCCCUUCGGGGGUACUCGAGUGGCGAACGGGUGAGUAACACGUGGGUGAUCUGCCCUGCACUUUGGGAUAAGCCUGGGAAACUGGGUCUAAUACCGAAUAGGACCACGCGCUUCAUGGUGUGUGGUGGAAAGCUUUUGCGGUGUGGGAUGGGCCCGCGGCCUAUCAGCUUGUUGGUGGGGUAAUGGCCUACCAAGGCGACGACGGGUAGCCGGCCUGAGAGGGUGUCCGGCCACACUGGGACUGAGAUACGGCCCAGACUCCUACGGGAGGCAGCAGUGGGGAAUAUUGCACAAUGGGCGCAAGCCUGAUGCAGCGACGCCGCGUGGGGGAUGACCGGCUUCGGGUUGUAAACCUCUUUCAGUAUCGGCGAAGCUCCAGGAUUCUUCUUGGGGUGACGGUAGGUACAGAAGAAGCACCGGCCAACUAC
rnacentral:rRNA from 1 species